GGGUUAGUGAGGUUAAGAGGUCCAGAGGAAGGAAAACCCGUAGUUUCCAAUGAAUCUAAACAUCUAAUCGUGGAAUGUGAGAGGUCUGGGCAACCGUAGGGAGGGGAAGGUGGCUAGCUUCUUUUCAGUUUAGCUUGGCUUUUCAUCCAAAAUCGUUUUUAGUGCGCUUUAGAGCACAGUAAGUACCGCCUGAUAUUUCACUUUUAGGAUUGACUAUUCUAAUUUAGAAAGGUGAAGGGAGCCAAACACGUAGUAUCAUUGUGUAAGUUGGCACCCCCUUACUUCGUUGUAUGCAAUGAAUUUCAUUGUUCAGAUCAAGGCGCAUCUGUCUUAGGUACCCCCCUAAAAAUAUAUAUCAUAUAUGCACCGCUGCUGAUCCUUUGUCCCUUUCUAAAUCCAGCUUCAACCGAGCAUACGUCUGCCGCGGGAACAGGAAGAACGGAAAAUUGACUUUUCUCGUAAGUGAUGCUCGAAAUCACUGAUGUACGGAAGUAGACUAGAAUCUCGGAACCAAGCUCAAGGCGGCACGUUACAGUACUGCCCAUAUAAUCUUGUCCAGUAAGCUGCUGGAAAGAUCAAGUGCAAUUGAUUGGUAGAGAAAAUACCUUAAAUUGCUGAUCGGGUACCUUCAGACCAUAUCUGAUCAUCUCGCUCGGGCUUAGAAGACGGUUAAAGAAUAUAUGACUGGUUGAUCCGAAGAUGGUCAGUCCUAAACCGGUAAGUCAUCAUCCAAGUCUUGGGAGUUGGAAGAGUUGAAAAAGGCAAGUCAAGUCAUCUUCUUAAGAUAAGAUUUGACAUCUUUGGCUGUUGAUUCCGAUGCAUCUCUUUCUUCGUCUGUUUUUGACUUUUUGCCAGGUAGGUACUAUACCUCCUCUCACUUUACCUUGCUCAGUGCCCUCUUCCAUGCUCAGGCUCAGACGUAGAAAACCUUAUUUUAGGCAUCGUCUGGUUGCAAGAGCUUUAGCUAAGCAAUCCAGUCCAGAGGGUGCAGGCGAGCGGCAGAGGAAUGGGUUGGCCAAUGCCUAUUGAGAAUACCCAUGACUUUUACCAGUACCAGCAGGCUUGUUGAAAUCGUUUAGUUCCGUCUACGUCUUGGUUGACUCACUCUGGGUCUCCCAAGGCAGGCUAAUUACAAAUGUAGUAGGAUGGAUAAGGGGUCUCAUUAUGAAGGGAAAGCCUUUCUUUAUAGUCAAAAAGAAAUCAGUAAAGGUGACAAAGUAGAAGAAUAAGACGAGCGAGGACUGCUAACCGGAGUCUUCAACUGCGGUAUACCCCUCGGCCUGCAGUUCUGUUUGCCCCCCUUUUUUUCCUUUGGGCUUUUCGUUAGUGGGAGCACCACUGGUGCUUGCAAGCACCUCUUGUCUGCGACCUUGUUUGCCCCCCCGGUACCUCGCAUUUCCGAAAGCACUAUUCCUAUUAAAAAAAGAACAAACCAUAUAUAUAAUACCUAGAAGAAGUGGUAAAAAAAAUGGCUGGAACAGCAACAGCUAUUGAAAUUUUCUAUUUUCUAUUCACUCAUGAUCUGGCCUGGUCGACCCGAUCAUGAUAUUUAGGGAUGGGACCUUUUCUCGAAAAACUCUGGAUCCUGUGUCCAGAAAGUGCAUCUCUUUCUCUGCCAUUCCUACUUUCUUGAUAGUUAUAACCUAAUGAAUAAGGUCGAUUCAGUCCAGGAGGCUAGUUUGAAACCCGGACUCGCUGAGGUUCACACACUUUUCUUUCUUUAUGAAAUUACACAGCAAGCUGGAAGCUUGGUACUAAUAGCCUAUAGAGUAUAGAGGGGCUAUGUAGAGGCGCGCAACUGUGCUUCCUCGCUUCGCCAAGAAAAGCACUUGGGUGAAGGGCGCGCUACAGGCCUACGCUUGUUCCUGAAUCUCCGGCUUUUUGGCUGUAUCUUGCUCCUUUCUUUCGCCUCAGUAGUGAGCGCUGCUAGAUCUGAUUCAACUGAAUAUGGGACUUGGAUAUGCUCUUGCUCCCGGCGGAUAUGCUGGGCGAGAUAGUGACAAAGGGGAAAGUCGAGCCCCCUAUAAACGUAAAGGCAACCGCUGCUACCUGUGCUGCUUUGUUCGUAUAGAUAUGAUGGAUCUCCUACCUCGGCUGGAACUUGCCUCUGCAACUUUAGGGUAUGNNNNNNNNNNNNNNNNNNNNNNNNNNNNNNNNNNNNNNNNNNNNNNNNNNNNNNNNNNNNNNNNNNNNNNNNNNNNNNNNNNNNNNNNNNNNNNNNNNNNUCAAUGAUUUAUGGAAAAACCAUAUAGUAUAAAUAAAAAAAAGGAUUCCUCCCCUAAAACUAAAAAUAAGCCAGUUCAUUCCUUAGUUGGAUCCGCCGAAGAGAUUGGAGCAAGAACUCUUUUAACCACCUUACUUCCCGGCAUCUGCCCUGGGUAGCGAUCUACUUGUGUGAAAACUCCAAUCAAAAAGUAAGAACGUAGUGCUAAGGUAGUUGUUCGUACUAAGUGCUAGUGAUCAGGAGAAGUAUCUCCUUAGUGAUGUAACACCUUUCGGAUCAAUUCCUCUAGCAGCACGAGUAUCACUUUCUUUUUUCUGUCGAAAGCUUUCCACGUAGGUCUGAAAUAACCGUUUGUCAGGACGACUUCUCUUACGAUGUUUCUUAGCAUCCGAGCAAGCUGGAUUUCCCUUGCUUGUAUUUCCCUAGCUUGGAUUUCCCUUUAUUUAUUCUAUCCCCGAGCCCGAGGAAAACCGAAAGCCUUACCUACCUACUAGCUAGGGUUUCGGUUUCGUUAGCAACAUGUGAAAGAAAAGAAAAGCCAUUUCUUGAGUCUAUAGCUCAAGAAUAAAUUCACUUCUUUUGAAUGGCCAAGUGGUUUAAGGUUUAAGACAUUAAUGCCGUUUCGUACCAAAAUAUUGAUAGAUUCCUAAAACUAUUCCAUAGUGGCUUAGACGACCUUCUAGAUAGACCUUCGAGACCGUCGAGAGAUUCUCUUUGAAGACUGGAUCACCACGACCGCUUCACUUACGCUUUCUCAAUCUCUACGAAAACUACUUUGUUAUUUACUAGAUUUUCAUUUCGUAAUUAAGUGGGACAGCCGAGUGAGUAACUCUUCUCUUAUAUUCACUGACGUGAAUGUGUGAAGGAUCUCCCCUUGUAUAGCUGUAAGUCAUAGUGUUGGUCGAUGGCGUCGCGACUAGAAGGGAAGUCAUGCAACGACAAGGUUCAUUUGAACCAAGAAUGCAAGGAAGAAGUGCAGAAUGGUUCCUAAGGCUGUCCUCUAACACGGUAAAUUUAAAUGUGUAAACAGGGGUAGUUCGGACCUGGUAGCACAACUAGUAGUUUUCUUUGAAUCCUCCCAGAGCAAUCUCGUGAACAAUAUUUAACAUGGCUUGAGGCAGACGCCUAAGGUUUCCACUUAGAAUCUUGACACACAGCAGUAAAUCCUUAAUGGACAGGCCUAGACGACUCUCUAACUCAACGCAGCUCACAGCAGCCUGAAUCUUACAGGUUAAACCAGAGAACAAAGAAGAGUAGCAGGUUCAUGAUACAAUUACUGGUCAAAAGUAGUGAUGAUUCCUCCUUUCUCAGUCCUGGAAAUAAACUGAGAGAGCUGCUAGUAGUUCCACCAGCAGAGAAUACUUGAUCCAAAUAGCAAGAAGAAGCCUAACGAUGAAAUCAGUAGCCCCUUUUGUAUAGUAAGGUUCAAAGAGUCCUUGUAUAGUAAGGGCGCUCCUGCUCACCAGCUUCAGGAAGGGCUUCAAAGCUCCUCUAGCAUUCCAAAACAAGUCAUUUCUUUAACUAACAAUGGGAAGGAUCAGAAGGUUUACCUUUGGGACUCGAAGGUCUGACCUUGGAUCUCGUAGUCGGGCCUGGGGGCAUCAAGGAGUCAUCCUUUUUCUUCUUGGUUCUUCUCGGUUUAACUGGUUGAAAACCAUCUUCUUCAUGUUCUUGAGAUUGAAAGAAAUGCAUGAGCUAUGGUAACCACGCCGCUUCCAUCUACUUCUAUGCGAGUUUAGAUGAGGAAAGCGUUUUUUUAACGGAAAAUAGUAGAUUGACUCCUGUCUCUUAGGCUUACAUAUUAAAAAAAAGGAAACUAAAGUUGUAUCCCGCCUUCUCUAAGAAAGCCUUAACCUUCGGUGAAUAGUAAUGGGUCUUCACCGGUUCGGUGGCAGUGGCAUCUUUGUAAGGAUCUUCCUUAUGAAUCUGGUCUUCUCCCCAGAGGGGCUGAAUAUAGAAGAAAGAAAAGGAGCUCUAGGGGAGGGUCAAAAGCCCUCCGACGUCCUGGAAGCGGUCGAACACGACUGCAACAUCCAAAGCAAGACCGACGAGUAUCGCUUAAUCAAACAGUUGGAAAAGGAAGCGGAGGCGAAAAAAGAAGACUGCCCCGCGACCAAUUCCACCUUCAAUAAAAUCAAGGACUUUCAAAGCAAAGUCCAAGAUGGAUUUGGAGGGAAAGCCCCUCCGUCAAUCAAUAUCAAUAAGGAAGGGUAAGAACCCGAAAACUACAAUCUUUAUUCAAGCGGUUAAAGAAGAUUAGAGAAGAUUUUUUGUUGACCGAUAGAUUCUAUUAAAAAGCAUGUUCAUUCGUAUUCAAGUUUUUUGGACAGAGUUAGAUGUGGCCUUUCAUUCCUUAGGGAGUGAGAGGGCUAAGGGGAAAGGGUGGGUGGCCCUUUAUGCGCUUUUUUAGGAGGAGUUCCGUGUAGUCGGAUGGAACGGAAGUGCAUAUCAGAAACGAAUCGGGCUAGGGGUAAUGUAAAUGAAGUGACUCGACUAGUUAGUCUCGGGAUUGAAUCAACCAAGGGAGGAGAUGAGCUAGCGAAUCAGAGUAGAAACCAAGUGAAUUACUUUACUUGGAUCUGUUUUUAGAGGAAGAAGGGAAUCAAGCCCGAUAGCGCCAGCCAUUUUCUUGCUGCUAGCGCGCCCCUUUGAGUAAGACGUAUUCGGAGCUGGUAAGGCUCUUCUAGCUACUUUUAGAAAGAAGGCCUCGAUGAGGUAAGUAAUAAUAUUAUUUACUCGAAUCUUAUUAGCCUUCUAAAAGAAUACAGAUAACGCGGUGCAUCUUUCUUUCUCCCAUGCAUCCUUUCUGUUUGUUGGUCAACCAAAACUCACUAUACUUAAUUCUUCACUACUCCGUGUAGGAAGGACUCUCUUUCUCUCUGGAGGGAAUCCUUUGUUUUCUAAUCAAGAUGCCUCAACUGGAUAAAUUCACUUAUUUCACACAAUUCUUCUGGUCAUGCCUUUUCCUCUUUACUUUCUAUAUUCCCAUAUGCAAUGAUGGAGAUGGACUACUUGGGAUCAGCAGAAUUCUAAAACUACGGAACCAACUGGUUUCACACUGGGAGAACAACAUCCGGAGCAGCGACCCCAACAGUUUGGAAGAUAUCUUGAGAAAAGGUUUUAGCACCGGUGUAUCCUAUAUGUUCUCCAGUUUAUUCGAAGUAUCCCAAUGGUGUAAGGCCGUCGACUUAUUGGGAAAAAAAGGAAGAUAACUUUGAUCUCUUGUUUCGAAGAAAUAAUUGGCUCACGAGGAAUGGAAAGAAACAUAUUCUAUUUGAUCUCGAAGUCCUCAUAUAGCACUUCUUCCAAUCCUGGAUGGGGGAUCACUUGUAGGAAUGACAUAAUGCUAAUCCAUGUUCCACACGGCCAAAGAAGCAUCGAUUUUUAAUCUCAUUAUUACUUGGUUGUUCGGAAGAGAUUCUUUCUUGAUCAGAAUAGUGGAAUGGAAGGCACUACAAGAAAGAUAUACUCCUUUUCAAAUUUCCCCAGACAUUCAGAAAGGUUCUCGAGAUUCUCAAUCGCUCUUUUUUUUCUUUUUUAUUCUCUAUCUCUGCAAGGCUCCUCGAUAUAGAGUAGAGCAAAGCAAUCGAUUUCAACAGGCUUUUCUGUAAUGAUCGAAUAAUGGAAGUUCACGGGGAAAGUCACUAGACCCGAAGCAUUGGUUCAAAUCCAAUUCAUUACUCCUUAGAAGGAAGAAAAGGACUCAAUAAAGGGUACUUACUACUAAGAUUUCAUAUUCUAUCUUAUAUAUGGCAUUUAUCUCUAUACUCUAAACUGGAAGGGCCAUACUAUGAGACCCUAGUGGAGGAAGCAAAAGCUCACUCGACCAAGCCUAGUGGAGGAAAGAAAGGAAGAGUCAACAAAGGCUAACUACAUACUGAUUGGCUAAUUUCCCUCGGUGACGUAAGACUGAAGAAAAGAUCACAAUAAGGGACCUACUCUUGCCGAAAGAUAGGAGAAGAUCAAGACUUUGAUUUAGACAAGGAAGAUUCUGACAACUCACUAGAUCGGGAUACUAAGGUAUAGAGUGGCAUACUAGAAUAGAAGAAGAGGUACACUAAAACUACCUUAGGACCUGUCUUGCUGUGGAAGCAGUGGCCGGAAGCUUCAUUACAUCAGCAGUAAAAGGCAGAAUCUCGGCCAAGAUACGUCGUGCUGUUGAAAGAGCUGUCAAAGAAGGAGGAGUCUGUUGUUGGCGCCCUUCAGUACCUCACUCUCACCAAACCUGACAUCUGCUAUGCUAUCAAUCAAGUUUGUCAGUUCAUGCACUCUCUCACCACCGUACAUCUCCAAGCAUGCAUCUUGCGGUAUUCGAAGGGUUCUCUUGGCCUUGGCCUAACCAUCACUCUCGGACUAUUAACCACCUUCUUUACAUUCUCCGAUGCCGACUGGGCUGGCUCUCCCGAUAGCAGAUGGUCCACUACUGGCUUCUGUGUCUUUCUCGAAAAAAACCUACUGACUUGGUAAAUCUGCGAGGAGGGAAGGUGACCGGCUGUGUGGAAUGCUUUUCGCCCGAACGAAAUAAUGAAUCAAGUAGUGGCUGUGGUGCAACAUCCAUCAUUGGAAAAACAAUGAUUAUAGCGAUAAGGAUGAUAGAACCUUAUGAAGAAAGAAGGUUGGCGGGAUCAGACCUCGAAUUCAUCCCAUGCCUACUGAUAACAGAUCUUACUUCUCCCGACUACAUUCAGAAAAGAAAGCUUGCUCACCCGGCCAUGAAAGGGGAGCUCUCGCCCUGCCUAUAUAAGGAAUUAUGCCCCGGAAGCAACUUAGGACUCUUGAGACUACCUCAAGCCCGACUUUAUUCUUGGCAAUAGAUCUGAAUCCUGACUCGUCCUAAUACUCGAAUAGAAAGGGAAAUCGCAGAAAGAGAACAGAUUCGAGUCUAGCGUAUCAGAAAGCCUCGCUGCUUACCAACUCAAGUAGUUUGACGCGGUUUACCAUCUGACUGCCCCAUUUCGUGAGUCCAGGAAAAGUAGUUUGAAUGCUUAUUCCAUUCAGGAAACUCUUCAACCAGGCCACAAAGGCUGUAUCAUCAGAUCACUUGAUAUUACUACCCGGAACGAAAAUUAGAAAGUCGGUUCAAGGCAAUGAUCAAAGCUCUUCCUUGAGGCUGGCUCCGCGGUUCCAUAUGAUGCUGAAUUUCCUGCUCGCUUUUCUUUUGCGCCUAUAGCCUUUCUAGCUGCUGUUAGGUGGGCUGUAUUUAGCCCGCCUCCCUCCUUUGCGUUGUCUGCUUUCGCGCUAGAAGCAGGAACUUCCUUCAAUGGCAAGCGAAGCAUCCUUUCUUUCAUAUGCGAGUUAUCUCUCUCUGUGAGAAGCUUCUCGCUGUCCCUGAUGCCCCUAAGAACUAUACUAUACCACUAGGGGCGAGUUAUACGAGCCUUGAGAUGAGAAAAUCAAAAUAGCAGAGCAGGGGAAUCGAAGGGGAAGGGCAGUCUAUCGCGGACCCUUAGUUUAGUAACCACCACCAAACAAUCUAUCAUCCAGCAGUGAACAACCAAUUCAAGUUGCGUUGAUUAUUCAAUGAGAAGAUCGUGGCACGAAAAUACCUAAAAGGAUUGGGCCAGGCACUUCAAGAAAUUGAAUUUCUUUGUCAACAUAUCCCUAUUGUGGUGUGGUAAGUGAAAUCUCACUAUUGAUUCUAAGCGCUAAAUUACCCUCCUCCGAUAUUGAAGCUGAAGGAAGCGGCUCGAAUAGAGCAGCAGAUCGAAGAGCAGAUGCACUUUUCUAUUCGAUACACUUUUAUAAUAUAUAUAUAAGAAAGUUCGACUUUUAACAACCUGAUCAGGUAGGCCAAAGGUCUUCGUAGCAUACAAUCACACUGUUCACACUCUUCGUUCUAUAGGCGCAUGCGGAAGAGAAAAGACCCCCCAAAAAAAGAACUGGGAAUCUAUUUCGCGCAUCGGCAUACUUCUAUCCUUUUGCCCUCGAAUGGCAGCAUGAAAUUUUACUAUAUCUAAAUGAAAAAGUCAGUCUUUUUACGAGCUGAAACAGCUGGAAAGAAUACAGCAUUAAAGAAACUAACCCGACUGCACGUCAUCACUAAAUUUUCGAUCAAGAAGUGACAUAUAUGCGGAUAUGGGUGACUAUGGCAGUAUGGCUUAUGUAGGUGCAAGCCAUGGAAGAAAUCCUAUAAAUAAAGGUCUUUGUUCAGCUUUCUAUUCUGGUUCUAUUCCCAUGCCCAAGACCAUAUCAAGUCGCGGUCAAGGCAUAUAGUACUAGUGUUUCCGGUCAAUCCCUGGUUCACUUGCGAACUCUUUAGCCCUAAGAAGGCGGUUAAAUAUAUGGCUAUAAAGCGGAGUACGAAGGUGAUCAACACCUUGUUGUGGAGUAUGCCAAACAGUCGUAGUCAUUGACCUAUUUAAGACCGAGAAACCCAAUAAGUAGGAGAAUAAGGUCGAUGAAGAAGGGUCAUGAUCCCAUUCCUUACAGCGAUAGAAAUCCCUAUUUAUGAUCGCCCAUAAAUGAGAGCAUAGGGUCGUCUUCUAUUGGUACUCCUCUAGUAGACAGAGUUCAUGCGUAAGGAGUCAUGUCAUCUCUGGUUAAUAGAGCAGGAGAUUGGUGACCAAGUAAGCUCUAUAAGAGAAGCGGGUAGGUUGAAUACAUAUCAAUAGGAACAUCUCCUUAGACUAUGGUAUAAGACUCGCAAGGACUAGACCAAGGCUUAGAGUAUCUAAAGCCACUAGGCGAACUAUUGGAGUAUAUAAGGGCUUUAGUCCCAUUGGUUGAAUGCAUAGCGUUUGGGGUCUUUCCUCAUCCCUACUACUCUGGCUCUAUCCCCAUGCCCAAUCUCUGACACCUAACCUACUAGCCGACAACAAAAAUGGGCUAGGGAAAACCCGGACUUCCAUUGGGCAAUCAUAAUCCGCAACCGCCUUGGCACUCGGCCUCUUUCCUAGUAAAUAAGUAGUCUAGUAUAUAUAUAGUCUAUAUUAGUAUAGUUACGAUAAUAUCAUAUAUAGUGUAAAAAGAUAGAAAUAUCGUAUCCGACUUCAAAUCAAAACAAAAAAGGUGAUUCUGACCUAUCAGGUUAACCAAUGGACGCUCCUGAUGGAAUGUACCACCUAUCGGGAUUGUUUUGAGGACAUUCAUUAGCCAUACAUGGAUUGGCCUCAGAAGCCUUUGGUUAACAGAAUUUCCAAUGGCAAAGAUGCGCCGCUUGCCUCCUCCUUCCAUGGCAGCACACAGUCGUCCAUCGAGAUCUAACCCACACUCUGGAAAGUCUUCAAGACUCAUCAUGCGGGACGCGACAUUGUCCUCAUACUCAUCCAUGUCCUCUGACGUCAGAGGACUCUUAUUCUCAUCAAAGGCGUAACGGACUCUGAAAGGCCAAAGCACUCCAUGUGUGAAGUUUAUCGAACUCAUCCAGGUUAGAGUAGAUAAAUAAUCGUACGCAGCCAACUCAAAUAAAGCGCAAGGAAGGAUACUACUGACUUUCUUUCCAAACAACUUGUUGACAAAAGAAAAUGCGCACUGGAGAAGGAUUUCCAUGUAGGAUCCCAUCUAAUCCCUUGUUCAAGGGGAAUGGAUGAGAUGGUUCCCAGAUAAUGCUCACAGAUAACUGGCAACUUCUCAACGAGGUCAUCUAGAUACUGCUCCACGUCAUCCACGGAAAGACAAGGAGACAUAAUCUAAUAGACGAAAAGGUCGAACUAUCUACCUUCUUCGCCAGCUUCACAAUUCUGUAAAGAGAGAAUAAAGAUAAAGAAAUUCAUCCUAGCUUUUCUAAACGUACGAAUUCUCCACUUGUUUUUUGCUUUCUAAUUCAAUAUCUACACAAUUGGAAGGCGAAUAAGAGGGUCAAAGGGCCAAUUCUCUCGAAGAUAAGAAGAGUCAAGAGCAUCUCUCUUUGCGUGCUCGCCCAACAAAGAAUAUGGUUGAUCCUCAUAAUUGAGUGCAAGGCCCAACACCCUUUCUAACCUUUUAUUAGUACACGAGUUCGGAUACGCGUUCUGUGGCCAUUCUGUCUUAAGAAAAACCUGAGUUUCGGGUAUCACAGCUACAAAAAAUUACAUAUAUAGUAUAGAUUCUAUUAUCUAUACGCAAUAUAUAGCUACUAUAGAAGAUCCCUAGCGGUCGUUCUGAGAAGUUCUUCAUUGAUGUUCCACGUUCGACCACGACGAUGGGUUGCCGCGAGAGGUAGAGCCGAAUGCGCCCCAUUUCCUCCAUUUAUCCAGUGAGCUUUUUUUGAGCUAAAGCGCAACGCAAUAAACUAAUUUGAAAAACGAGAUUUUUGUAUGCAUUUUGAAGUCCCAAAAGGGAUCAUUUCAAGACAUCCUAGCCCUCGAGGAGUCAUGGCACACAGCAGGUAAAAAUAUUCCUUAGCUGAUAUUGGUUCUUCAGUGUGUCAAUCGGGCACACAUAGUUCCGCUCCGAUCCACUGGUCGACAAAUGCAAAAUCAAUGCAUUCUUUGACAUGUGUGGAAGCUGAGGAAUUUGCUCUACCAUUGGCUCAUAACCAGAGUGACGAAGAGCUAUAAAUAUUCCUCAUAAAAGAGGGUUUGAUCUUGGCUCAGGAGUGGGGUAUAGUUCCCCAAGAGGAAUGGCAAUGCCGUGAGUAAAGCGAUUUUAUUUGUUCCACAUCUUGAUCUCUCUUUCCGGCGGAUCUAAUUCUUCUUCAUCUCCUCUCCAUGGAGUUUUUUGGUAACAAUGAUAUGGAAAGCAAGUCUUCGAUCUUACAAAGAAAGGCGAUGGAAUCCCUGCAUUCCUCUUCUUUAAUGCUUUUGUCUUUAGGAGAAUCCCCUAGCCUUCCCUGUUGAAAGAAAGUUUGCAUUAAUUAUUUUAGGAAGCACUCUAUCCAAGGAGGAAAUGAAGAAAUACAGUACCCCUUUUUUAGAAGACAAGAUUUCUAAUUUGAUUGACCAUGGCCGGACAAAGAGCGAAGAGAAGUCCUACUCGGGAAUAUGGCACUUUCUUUCUCCUAUCAAGCGCUGGUGCAGGAAAUAGCGUCUACGUUCUUCUUGCGGAAAGAACUAAGAAAUGGGUUAAUUGAAUAGUCUCUAUCAGGUAAACUAAAGGGUGAAAAUUGCUAUUUAUGCUCGUACUAUCAAUACAAUAGCAGUUUAGGAUUUCUUUUAGGGAAAUGUCCCUACCCGUAGGAAGGAACGAAGAAUGGAAUAAAGGAGGGAGCUCUAGCUUACUCACCUCAGUAGGAAAGGCUGUCUGAGCAAAAGCACUAGCGCUUGCCCGUAGACCCUCUAGUUCUUGGGAAGAAAAGGAAUUCAAAAACCUCAUUGUCAGGUUGGUUAUGUUAAUAAUUAAUCCAUUUCCCAAUCAAUCUUAGGGAAGGCAGCAAGCAAGAAGUAAAUCUAUAGCUUUCAGAGCGAACAUCUAUUUAGUAUACCUUCUGGCCUUUGCUUGUUUACUUUCGUCCACCUUCUCCAUCCCCGGUCGGUGCCACAUGACUUUUUCCUCCUAACACACUCGAAGCAUAGUUUGAUCUUAAAAUUCUUGGAAGUUCUACUUAGACGGUUUCACGGGGGUACAUCUUGGCUCGUCUAGAGCGAAUAUGCCGCUGAUGCAUAAGGCAGUGUGGCACCUGCUGAAUCAUAUAUAAUUUUUAGCUAGGCCUCACGCACACAAAGACCUGAACAUUGUGUUAGACCGGUUGGUUAAAAUAGAAAAAAGACGAGCUGCUAACAUGGAACGAUCCUCUCUUUCCUUGUUGCGGCAGGUCGCCUUAGUUAAGAUAAGCCCUCUUGAAAGCACGCAGGCAAGCAAGCGUUCAUAUUAGCUUAGCUGCGCUUAAUAGGCCGGUUGGUUGUUUAAUAGAAAAAAUGGAUUGGCUUUGAAUAGGCAAGUCAAGUAAGCCUCUUGUUGGCGUAGGUCGUAAGGCUAGGGAAAUCCAAGCUCUUUUAAUAGUGUAAUACUGCCCGGACUGUCUUCGCAAUAGAAAAGCUUAGCUAGUGUCUCCCGUACCUAGAAAAGAAAAAGAGUGAGAAUUCUACAAACUUUACUUUGAUCAAAGAAAUUGACAACGGAAAGGUGAUAGCUUGACAUCGCUAAAGAAUCAGUAAUUGACAGCAAGAACUAAGAAUCAAUAAAAGUAAAGUACCAAUUAGAUUGGCAAUGUGCGCUCCUGUGGGAGUCGAACCCACCGCAUAGGUGCCUUGUUCUACCGAGAGAUGAAAUAAGGAGCGGCAACCCCUACAUCUCUGAACGACCGAACAAUCUCUGAGCUCGGAGAAAGAAAAUUUGAAAUGAGCACACCGACGGACCAUGAAAAUGUCCGAAAAACCCUGCUACGAAACUACUGAACAGUGGAAAAAAUACGAGAAGUAGAUACAUAUUUUACUUUUUUUCUAACUCAUGACCUUCAAGACUGGUUCUGAAUACCGUAAUGAGAAAGAAUAUCAUCUCUAACAAUAUUUUUUCUUCUUCUUUAUGAAGCCGAGAAAGACAGGUAAGAGAUGAAUUUAGCAAGAACAGGGACAGAGAGAAGUUUUUCCUUGAAACACGAGGAAGGUCGAUGCGGUUAGUACUUAGGAUGAGGCAAGUCCGAGCGAGGCAGCUAGGGAGACCUUUGUUCAACACCAUCUAAGAUAGGAUAAGCCUAAACCGCGUUGAAUCAAUAGAAUGACAUCCCUUUUCCAAGCAUUGGUGGGUAGUAGUAAGAUAGCCCGUUCUGUCUAUCUUAGGCAACUGCUUUGUCAUCCUUUCUUUGCUAGAAUCAAGGCGAAUACACGGUCAAUCACAUGGGUGGUUCAUCUUGAGAUUAGGAAAAAACCUCACUACGCUCGUAGGUCGGAAACUCCCGCUCGGUCAUAAAUCUCAUACCAGUCGUUGUAUUUUAGUAGCUUUUCCUGCCCUUCUUCUUUCUCAUCAUAAUCCGGGAAAGAUUCCGCCUUAACAGCUACCACUUCUUCUGCUUUGUCUCUCUUCUUUCUCCUCAAUAGCAUAUUUUUUUUCACAGCCUAUAUGUGUAUGCGGAAAACGAGAGUCCUUACUUUUCUUUCUCUUGCCCUGACAAAAUUCAGGGCUAUUGGUUCCGUUCUGUUCUCUCUCUCUACCUCUUCUUUUUUACCUAACUUUCAAAUCUUUUAUGCCCGGCCAUACCAACAUGGGAAACCUAGCUUCCCUCCCUUUGAAGUGCAUUUCUCAGAUCAGCUCCCCGAGUCACUAGAAAGAGGGUGAAAGGCCCACUACUUCUGCAUUCAUGGCCUAUUUUUUGAUUGAUUUCCCUUUCGUAUUCAUUCGACCUGAGGCAAAAGAGAAGUCAUACAAAGAAAGGUUCUUUCAUGCAAUGCAUAAUGGGCGGGCCUCCUAUGGAUUCUCCCAACUCAAUGACUGAAGGGAUGAGUAUGAGGAAUUGAAAAUCUAUAUGAAGAUUCAAACAAAAAGGAAAAAGGAACCAUAUCUUACUGAAGAAUCUGACUGAAUAAGGAAGAGAUCUUUUUGUGGUCUCACUUUACCACCAUCUGAAAUGCGCGAAACUUCGAUUGGUGGAAGCCAGUCCAUGAAGAUUCUCCCUUUUUUACGUGUAAUUCCCCUCUUUCGGUAAGCAUCCAGUAUCUCAACAAAUAAACAUUUCUCUAAGCUUAUCCUGUAGCUUAUACGUCGUUUGAAAGCUGCUUCAAGGAUCCAACGAAUAGCUAAGGUUUGUUGAUGAUCCCUGGCUACAAUCCCAGGGACAGCAUAAAGAGUACCUGCUAUUCCUACUCUUACCACUUCGCAUAUGGGCUUUAUAUUCUCUAGGGCGUCAACCAUAAGUUUGAUUACAUCGCGCUCAGUUCGAGCUAGGCGAUGAAAAGUUUGAUAAACAAUAGCACAAACUCUUGUUUUUUUACCUUCUUUCAUGCGAAAGUUGACCAACUUCUUGAUCCAUUAUUUUUGCUCACCAUCCAAGCCCCCCAUAUAGCUUAGAAUUUCCGAGCAAUUGGAAGCCGCUUUCGAUGACGAGGCCGAAGAAUUUAUAUUAUGCGAUCGUUACUGUCCAUCUUUAUCAGCCAACUCCCCAGUUUCCAUCUUUCCUUUCAGAGUUUACCACUCUUCAUAGCUUCUUGCUGACUCUCCCGAAAAGAAAGAUCUCUUAUCUCCGAGGUGAGGAUGGCCUCAUAAACUCCUUUGCCCAAGGUGGACGCUCGAGCCAACUGAUCUUUCACAAGGGCCAAGUAGCCCCCUGGACGAGUUUGGGGAAGAUUUUUAUAGGUAUCUAAAGAUUCCAGUCCGGUUAAAAAAAGACCUUUCUUUUUCGGCAUUCUCGGUCCUAUAUGGAGGAACCACCUCUUCCUCUGCAUCCCUUUGAUUGCUUAGUAUCUCCUCCUUGCCGCACUCUUCUGGAACAAAGGACGUCACUGAAAAUUUGGUAUAUAAAGAAUCAUUUUGUCUUUCUUCAAAAAAGUAAGAUAGUUUCUCCUCCGCCCAAGGGUGCUUUUUGAAAGAGCUUAACUAAUAGGGCACCGGUAGGCUAAGAACCUUUCUUACUUAUGAAGAAAGUUACAACUCUAGUUAAAUUGUAAGGGGAGAGACUCACUAUAUAUAUAUAUAAAUUAGAUUUCUCGAUGCUUUGAAUAGCGUAGUUUCGUACCCAACAAGCAAGGGAUGUGACUUUCUUUCUGAUCGUAGACCACUCUUGCUUGUUUGCUAAAGAGGCAAAUUCCGGGUCGUAGUAACAGUACGUAUCUCAGCGCCUAGAAGAAAGCUUUCACUGGCUUUUUUGACUAUAAAGAAAAAUUCCCAUUGAGAGCGAACUAAAGGAAUGGACGGGAUCAGGAUGCGAUCGAGCUUUACCUUAGCAGUAAUAGAGAGAGCGUAGCUGUAGAUAGGGGCAGGGCCCGAGACGGAUUCUAUAUAAUAAUGAAUGGAAUCGCUUUGAUUGAUUGCUUGUGAUAGCUUAUCGAUGCUUGUUAGUAGUGAAGUCCCUCAAACCAGAAGUUUCAAAAGCUUUUGACUGGGCCUACGAGAGAAAUGAACUUUACAUACUGAUAUCGCAUACCGAAGGGAAGGCCUAAUUGCACCACUCCUCCUUACCUUCCGCCAGCCGUCCCCCUCCUAGCCUUGAACAGAAGCUCAAGUGCACGAAGACCCUCUAACUUAAGCAGGUGCUAUCACUUAAGAGAAUCUCCGGGUCCUUCUUAAAGACUACCACCUUCUCUUCGGGCAUUGGAAGAUUCAUCAACUCCAUAUAAGCUGGAUGAUCUGAGCCUUCUUUUUGGAUUGGUCAAGACCUAGACCUAAUGGUCAGGGCGUACGUAGCCCACGUCUCUUCCACCCAAAAGGAGUUGCUGGAAAGCCUGGAACCGAACCUGACCUAUACAAGGAGAGUGGAAGAUAACGAAAGGGAGACAAAGUCCUAACUAAAUCAUAACACAAGCUACUAUUCCAUCUAUCAUAUCAGUCGAGUCAAUCCGAUUCGUUCUUAUCUAUAGAUAACGCAAGGGAUAACUUAUGACCUCGCGGAUGGAGAGGGAUUCGAACCCCCGGUAUUCCUAUCAAUACUGUGGAUUUCAAGACCGACUCUUUCAACCGCUUAGACAUCCAUCCCCUUCUGUUACCUACUUUGACUCAUAUCUUCAGUAUACCUCAAUACAAGACAAGCACAGGAAAGGAUAUUCAACCAAAACCGGGCUAUCGCCCUAUCUAAGCAGGUUGACCCUCUCCUCUACGGAAGUCCUUUUUUCAUCUAUUUCUUUCAGUUCUUGUGUUUAUCACUAUCGCCCUAUUAUCUCUCAAUUGCCUAUCCUUUAUAGAUGAGGGGGAGGCCCAAUCACUCUGUCUCGAAGGCAGGUUAAGUCAAGUGUAAAAUUAGGGUAGUGCAUUAAGAAGCUGCAACUAUCGCAUCAGCUAGAGCGGCAUUAGGCAUUGGAAAGGUGCUUAAUUCCGAUAGCGAUUUUAGGCUUUCAGAGAGGGAGAGGAAAAGAAAGACGAGACCGGCUAAAGGAGUUGCAGAGGCUCUCGAACUUUCUGUGAUCACUAUACGGUGAUUGUGAAAUUGGGAUCAGUUUAUAACUCCUUUUUUCUCUCUUCAAGUGGAAGGCAGGGAAGAUCAAAUGGAAUAGAACACUCUUCAUACUAUUUAUUCCAUUAUGUGCUUCCCUCUUCAAGAGCUAAGCUACUAGACUCAAAUCGUUUAUAGCAUCUCGUAUGGGACAUAUAUAGUCUUUACCCGAAUAGAGUACUUCAUUCUGACUUUCUCAUAGCAGGCAAUCCGUGUGAAAGGGCUCUCUCAUCUGCUAUUUGUACCAGAAGACGAAAGCAAGGAAUCCUAGACUUCCGAGACGAUAGGAGCGAGGCUAAGCGUUAUAAGGCAGCUAAGGCAAUCAGUUAAUCUCUUUCUAAAAUAGAUCUCCCUUCAUCUGGCUUAGCUCAUGGAAUAGUAGCUCUUCCGUUAUACUCUGGAGUGAAAGAAAAGCCCUAUUUUUCCCACCUUAUUAGACUCAUUUCCUAGACGACACCGAUUUCUUACGCUUUCUCGACCCGAGUGGUGGGUUAGGUCCUUCUGAUCCGGAUACCUUAGAUCUGGCUAUGCUUGUUUGCUGACCUGUGCUACCUAUUCUAUUCUUGACACAUUAGGGUAGGAAUAAGUUUAAGCUGAGCUGCCUAUCUCGCUGUGAGCGCUACCUAAGCACUGUUGAAGGCACUCAGAGAAGAGUGGAAUAGUCCUAGAGUUGAGAGGGCUUCUCACUAACACUUUCGACUCACUGCCAAAAGGGAUUGAUUCCCGGGAAGGCAAAUGCUACCUUGACAGAAGACUUUACUAAACUUCCAUAACCUUGAAUGAAAAAAGAGAGAUUUUGAUAUAUCAUUAAGGGAAUAACUCUUCCUUUACUGAUUGGAAUGGUCUUAUUGAAAUGAUAUUCCUUUUAUUGCUUGCACCUACCAGAAGGAGGAGAGAUCCUUAAUUACUGAUUAAGAGAAAGCAGGGAUGCUAAGAGUGCUCGCUAAUGUCAGCCCUUUGAUUGCUUACUUCGCUAUCCAAGCGGGAUGUUACGAGAGUUUCCAGAUGAGCAGGAAGGGCUGGAGGACGUAUUACCGGAGGAGAGGACUGAAUAGAAAGAACGAAAGUGACGUACAUACUGGAUUGACUAGCGUGUGCCAACUAUUCUACUUCCCUAUUUCUUGCUUUUUCACCUCCCCUUAUUAGUGCACUCUUUCCCCCAAUUCACCGAUAGAGAAGAAAGAGAUAAGCAAUAACCGGACUACACCAAUGAAAAUGGACCAAGGUUUUUAUUCGUUAGCCAAGCGCGCCUAUUACAGCGCCUCUAUUAUAGAAGCGAAAGCGAUGUGCCCUAUUGACCAGCCGAAGAGCAUCCUUAUAAAAGAAUGAAUGGGAAGCAGGCC
rnacentral:lncRNA from 1 species